rnacentral:rRNA from 1 species
UACAGAGGGGGCAAGCGUUGUUCGGAAUUACUGGGCGUAAAGGGCGCGUAGGCGGCCUGUUAAGUCGAACGUGAAAUCCCCAGGCUCAACCUGGGAACUGCGUCCGAUACUGGCAGGCUUGAAUCCGGGAGAGGGAUGCGGAAUUCCAGGUGUAGCGGUGGAAUGCGCAGAUAUCAGGAGGAACACCAAUAGCGAAGGCAGCUCGCUGGGACGGUACUGACGCUAAGGCGCGAAAGCGUGGGGAGCGAACAGG